rnacentral:rRNA from 1 species
AACGAACGCUGGCGGCAGGCCUAACACAUGCAAGUCGAACGCCCCGCAAGGGGAGUGGCGCACGGGUGAGUAACGCGUGGGAAUAUGCCCUUUGGUUCGGAAUAACACAGGGAAACUUGUGCUAAUACCGGAUACGAUCUACGGAUGAAAGAUUUAUCGCCGGGGGAGUAGCCCGCGUAGGAUUAGCUAGUUGGUGAGGUAAUGGCUCACCAAGGCGACGAUCCUUAGCUGGUCUGAGAGGAUGAUCAGCCACACUGGGACUGAGACACGGCCCAGACUCCUACGGGAGGCAGCAGUGGGGAAUAUUGGACAAUGGGCGAAAGCCUGAUCCAGCCAUGCCGCGCGAGUGAUGAAGGCCUUAGGGUUGUAAAGCUCUUUCGCCAGGGAAGAUAAUGACGGUACCUGGAAAAGAAGCCUCGGCUAACUCCGUGCCAGCCGCCGCGGUAA